GACGAACGCUGGCGGCGUGCUUAACACAUGCAAGUCGAACGGAAAGGCCCUUUCGGGGUGCUCGAGUGGCGAACGGGUGAGUAACACGUGGGUGAUCUGCCCUGAACUUUGGGAUAAGCCUGGGAAACUGGGUCUAAUACCGGAUAUGACCAGUGGGUGCAUGCUUGCUGGUGGAAAGCCUUGUGCGGUUUGGGAUGGGCCCGCGGCCUAUCAGCUUGUUGGUGGGGUAAUGGCCUACCAAGGCGACGACGGGUAGCCGACCUGAGAGGGUGAUCGGCCACACUGGGACUGAGACACGGCCCAGACUCCGUACGGGAGGCAGCAGUGGGGAAUAUUGCACAAUGGGCGCAAGCCUGAUGCAGCGACGCCGCGUGAGGGAUGACGGCCU
rnacentral:rRNA from 1 species